GAAAACGCGCCCCCCACCCCCCAUGGAUGUAAAAGAGGGGCAGACGCCUCCGAGGUAGAGCGCAUGCGUUCAGGGCCGACAUUGGCCUCUGGUGGGCGAAGCCGUUGUGUGGCCGGCCCAGCCCUGCCGGGAAGAGAAGCUCACGGAAGGUGGAGUAUGUGUUCCUUUAGUGAAAUUCUUAAGACCUAGGAAAGAAUCUGGAGUGCCCUGAGGUGACCUACAUCUAACCCAGCUUCACUGCCCCAGGCUCAACAAGUAUUACAGUACACCCGAGGAAAAAGAUCGAGAGGGGCGGACGGGAGCGCCUUCGUAAAAGUCCAGGAUCCGAAGAAAGGGAGCUGAGGCCUGGCUAACCUUAACACCAAGCCCUAGACCGAUUAUACUUUCUCAAGGCAUUCUCAAAUACAUCCCACUAAAUAAAGUAGUCGAUCUUUCUCAGUGUUCAUACACGUAGCAGUCUAUAAAACAGAUCACCGACAUUCAACUAUGUGUUUUAAUUUUUUCUCCAAAAAUGCCUUCCCAACAAAAGGACUAUUACACACACCAACAGUUGUCAAUAACGUGUUUGAAAAGAAUUUAAAGUGAGAAAAUUCUUUUGAAUCUUAGAUGUCUGCUUUUGUCUGUCAGCUCUCUGCUGUGGCCUGGGAAAGCAGUAGAAGAUGGCCCUAGAGCUCCCUGCCACGGCGUGGGAGACUGGGAAGAAGCACCUGGUUCCUGCUUUGGAUCGGCGAUCAGCGCAGCUCCAGCCAUUGUGGCCACUGGGAAGUGAACCAACGGAAACAAGACCUUUCUCUCUGUUUCUCUCUCUCACUGUCUGUAACUCUACCUCUCAAAUAAAUAAAUAAAU